AUUGAACGCUGGCGGCAGGCCUAACACAUGCAAGUCGAACGAGUGGCGGACGGGUGAGUAAUGUCUGGGAAACUGCCUGAUGGAGGGGGAUAACUACGGGAAAAGGUAGCUAAUACCGCAUACCAUCGGAUGUGCCCAGAUGGGAUGAGCUAGUAGGUGGGGUAAAGGCUAACCUAGGCGACGAUCCCUAGCUGGUCUGAGAGGAUGACCAGCCACACUGGAACUGAGCACCGGUCCAGACUCCUACGGGAGGCAUCAGUGGGGAAUAUUGCACAAUGGGCGCAAGCCGGAUGCAGCCAUGCCGCGUGUAUGAAGAAGGCCUUCGGUUUUUAAAGUACUUUCAGCGGGGAGGCGUUACCCGCAGAAGAAGCACCGGCUAACUCCGUGCCAGCAGCCGCGGUAAUUC
rnacentral:rRNA from 1 species